UAGGUUUAGAAGAUAUAUAACUAUAAUAAUAAUUUGUUACAGAUAAGCCCUGUUCUAAAACUCGGCCGCCAUGGCACUACGCGUCACUCUUCCUCCCCGAUUUAUGCCAAAUCGGUUUAAAAAAUUGGAUAUACAAUUUUUUCCGCCUAAACCGCUUAAAUGACCGCCUAGCCGCCUAAAUGACUGCCUAGCCGCCUAAUCUAUUUUUUAUUUCUUUAUUUUAUUUUAGUUUUAAAAAUA
rnacentral:lncRNA from 1 species